GCGGGUAUAGUUCAGUGGUAGAACGUCAGCUUCCCAAGCUGAAUGUCAAGGGUUCGAAUCCCUUUACCCGCU
rnacentral:tRNA from 1 species